CUAGAGGAGAGACAGACAGACGGUCCUGGUCCUCUAGAGGAGAGACAGACAGAUGGUCCUGGUCUUUGUCCUCUAGAGGAGAGACAGACAGACAGACAGACAGACAGACAGACAGACAGACAGACAGACAGACAGACAGACAGACAGACAGACGGUCCUGGUCCUCUAGAGGAGAGACAGACAGACUGUUCUCUGCCCAUCUGACUGAUGUGGUGUGGCUGUGUUGAGAGACUACUGUACUUCAUCUUAUUUAGCUCCAUGUCUGCUCUGUGUUUUGAAUGUUGUGGGCAUGGAUAACAUGUGGCUGUACAGACAGAGGUAAUGUCUAUUAUAGCUGGCUCCAGACCGAGGUAAUGUCUAUUAUAGCUGGCUCCAGACAGAGGUAAUGUCUAUUAGAGCUGGCUCCAGACAGAGGUAAUGUCUAUUAUAGCUGGCUCCAGGCAGAGGUAAUGUCUAUUAUAGCUGGCUCCAGACCGAGGUAAUGUCUAUUAUAGCUGGCUCCAGACAGAGGUAAUGUCUAUUAUAGCUGGCUCCAGACAGAGGUAAUGUCUAUUUUAUCUGGUUCCAGACAGAGGUAAUGUCUAUUAUAGCUG
rnacentral:lncRNA from 1 species